UGGUUUAAUUCGAUGCAACGCGAAGAACCUUACCUGGUCUUGACAUCCACGGAAGUUUUCAGAGAUGAGAAUGUGCCUUCGGGAACCGUGAGACAGGUGCUGCAUGGCUGUCGUCAGCUCGUGUUGUGAAAUGUUGGGUUAAGUCCCGCAACGAGCGCAACCCUUAUCCUUUGUUGCCAGCGGUCCGGCCGGGAACUCAAAGGAGACUGCCAGUGAUAAACUGGAGGAAGGUGGGGAUGACGUCAAGUCAUCAUGGCCCUUACGACCAGGGCUACACACGUGCUACAAUGGCGCAUACAAAGAGAAGCGACCUCGCGAGAGCAAGCGGACCUCAUAAAGUGCGUCGUAGUCCGGAUUGGAGUCUGCAACUCGACUCCAUGAAGUCGGAAUCGCUAGUAAUCGUGGAUCAGAAUGCCACGGUGAAUACGUUCCCGGGCCUUGUACACACCGCCCGUCACACCAUGGGAGUGGGUUGCAAAAGAAGUAGGUAGCUUAACCUUCGGGAGGGCGCUUACCACUUUGUGAUUCAUGACUGGGGUGAAGUCGUAACAAGGUAACCG
rnacentral:rRNA from 1 species